ensembl:lncRNA
CCUAAAUCCAUUACAUAUGUACAGUAUAUUUUGUAAUAAAUAUUAUUCAUUCUUAAUUGAUAUGACACAUUUCACCAAAUGAAGGUUAUUAUGUUGUUAGUUAAUUUCCACAGCCAUUUUUAACCUUGAUAAGCAUUUUCAUUUUUUCACACAGAUGACCUACUACAUAUACCAUUUCCCCAAACACUACAAAGUUCUCAAAACCAAGGUUCAUGUUUUAAAAACAGUUAAUGCAGCCAUCUAGAGAAAGUAAGCAAAAUUAAAAUAUAUUUUUGGAUGGUUCACACACAAAUUACCAAAAUGCACAUACAAUUUUGUCAAAAAUAACAAACAAAACUCUACAUAAAGUUAAAUUUGCCAUCUGGCCAAAUUAAAAAGGCAUGCGCUCAAUUACUGUCAAAUUGUUGUCAGCUGGGUCAGUAAAGCACAAAAACAGGAAGUGCGACUUGCUUAAUUGUUCACAUUGAAACCAGCACUUUGCUAUGUAUAAAAGGAGUCACCUGUGAAAGCCAUGGAGCUUGAAUAAACAAUGGAGGAACCUCGAGAAAGAGUUAGAAGAGGAAGUGUAAGAAUGAGAGGAGCUGGAGGAGGGGAGAAAGGAAGAGAAGAGGGGAGAAGGUAGAAAGGAGAGGAAAUGGAGAGCAAGAGGGUACAAGCAGAGAAACUCUUAUUAACCAUGUCAUCAACCAUGGUCUCACCCUGAGAGAGCUGGACAGAGAGUUCAGUCUAAUGUGAGUUGAUCUGCUAGUGCUUCAAUCAUUCGAACAUUGCAGAGCGCAAACAGAUAAGUGCAUUGUGGGCAUUGUAUUUCUAAAUCAUCAGAGUAUUUCAGUAUGACGUACACUGUAUGGUACUGUUUUUUUCCCACUGAUAUGAAACAUAACUAAAAUCCAUGUUCUCAACACAAACAGAGCCACGUGACCCCUUCCAAUAUGACCAUCAAUCUUCCACUACCCAGUGUCAGUUAAUUCUUCCGACUGUGUACCGACAUUUAGUCAGUUAGUGCUAUGACAGCCUUACAGUUGAUGAAUGUACAGUUAUCCCAUACAUUGUUCAGAACGGAACACUGAGCACCUUCAUGUGUAUGAACAUGGCUUCUCUCUGGUCAAACAGAACAACACCAUACGCCUCAAAUAAAUACAAAUAAUAAUCCAGGACGAUAUAAUUUUCCGUGUUGUGUUACUAGAGGUACCUGAUGACACUGGUUAUACAGUGUGUUGUAUUACUACAGGUACCUGAUGACACUGGUUAUACAGUGUGUUGUAUAACUAGAGGUAUUUGAUGACAUUGAUUAUACAGUGUGUUGUAUUACCAGAGGUACCUGAUGACACUGGUUAUACAGUGUGUUGUAUUACUAGUGGUACUUGAUGACACUGGUUAUACAGUGUGUUGUAUUACUAGAGGUAUUUGAUGACAUUGAUUAUACAGUGUGUUGUAUUACUAGAGGUACCUGAUGACACUGAUUAUACAGUGUGUUGUAUUACUACAGGUACCUGAUGACACUGGUUAUACAGUGUGUUGUAUUACUACAGGUACUUGAUGACACUGAUAACACAGUGUGUUGUAUUACCAGAGGUACUUGAUGACACUGGUUAUACAGUGUGUUGUAUUACUACAGGUACUUGAUGACACUGAUUACACAGUGUGUUGUAUUACCAGAGGUACCUGAUGACACUGAUUAUACAGUGUGUUGUAUUACUACAGGUACAUGAUGACACUGAUUAUACAGUGUGUUGUAUUACCAGAGGUACCUGAUGACACUGAUUACACAGUGUGUUGUAUUACUACAGGUACUUGAUGACACUGAUUACACAGUGUGUUGUAUUACCAGAGGUACCUGAUGACACUGGUUAUAGUGUGUUGCAUUACUACAGGUACCUGAUGAAACUGGUUAUACAGCAUGUUGUAUAACUAGAGGUAUUUGAUGACAUUGAUUAUACAGUGUGUCGUAUUACUAGAGGUACCUGAUGACACUGAUUAUACAGUGUGUUGUAUUACUAGAGAUACUUGAUGACACUGGUUAUGCAGCGUGUUGUGUUACUUGAUGUACCAGAUGACAAUGGUUAUGCUGUGUGUUGUAUUAGUAGAGGUACCCGAUGACACUGUUUAUGCAGUGUGUUGUUACUUGACAUACCAGAAGACACUGGUUAUGCAGCGUGUUGUGUUACUUGGCAUACCAGAUGACACUGAUUAUACGGUGUGUUGUGUUACUACAGGUACCUGAUGAGACUGAUUAUACAGUGUGUUGUUUUACUAGAGGUACUUGAUGACACUGAUUAUACAUUGUGUUGUAUUAGUAGAGGUACAUAAUGACACUGGUUAUACAGUGUGUUGUGUUAAUUGACGUACCAGAUGACACUGGUUAUGUAGCGUGUUGUGUUACUUAACGUACCAGAUGACACUGGUUAUGCAGCGUGUUGUGUUACUUGACAUACCAGAUUACACUGGUUAUAGAUAGUGUUGUAUUACUUGUGAGGCACAGCAGAGUCAUUUUAAGCAUAUUAUUUUGGUAGUUUUCUUUAUUUUGCUGGACUGAUGUUGCCUGCAUCUGGUGAGAGUUUGAGUAGCGAGGGAGAGGGAAGCUUCCUUACAUCUUUCAAAUCUCUGUCCGUUCCUUGAGACUGACACAAAUAAGGGCACUAUAUUGUUUCUGCAACUUGCACAAAAUAAUGUUACUACCGCCAUAGCCAGAGAAACAAAAAUAUUACUUAUUUAUUUAAGCAAGCUGUUGAUAAUAACAAAGAAAGCCAAUCGAUACAUUUUCUACUCAUAAUGCCGCAGUUGUCACGUCCUGCAGUGAGAUCCAAAAGCCUCUUCCCAAAUUUUAAGCACGGAGCAAUUUGUUAUUGAUCACUGUCCCUAUUUACGUUCUUCCGCCCCUAGUGCAUCUUGUUGGUCAUUGUGAAGUUCCUGUUCCUUUUGUAAUACUGUUCCUUUAUUGUUUUAGUUUUCUUAUGUCUUAGUCCUUUUUAUUAGAAUUAUUCACUUCUACCGCCGCCUGCCCUUAGCUCCUACUUGCAAUUUUACAGGAGUGCUGGUUGUGCGCAAGUAGAGAAGUCAUUUUAUGCAAAUGCUGAUGUGUUGACUGCUGAAUAAGUAACUAAUAAAAAAAGCAUGAAUGCAUGACUUUAUUGUUGCAAUUUUUAUAGAGAUGUUUGGGAGUAGGAACGUAUUUCACAAGUUGUUUUCAACAGUUUUCAGCGGUAGGCUAGAGCAGGGAAUAAAUGUUUAACUGAAGAUGUCGGGCAAUUAACUGACGAGAUCCACUUUUUACUGGCCCUGGGCAAGCAGACAAUCGUUAAUGUUGGACUCUGGUUUUCAUUCAAAUUUGGCAUGGAAAUGACUGUAACUGUUACGAUAAAGUUGUGACUAACUGUAAUUAUAACCAUGUGAAAAUGACUGCAACUAUAACAGAAACAAUGUGAAAAUGAAUGUAACUAACGUUAACCCUGUGAAAAUUACUGUAACUGUAACGAUGUGUGAAACUGACAACAUCUGAUUACCGGUAACAACACUUAGUUUCAGCUGAACCAUUGAUUUCCUAUGGAGACUGGUACCCCUGAAACUAUAGGCAGGCUACCUUGGGUGUUGUGCUAAUAAAUAGUUAAUGUUAUGCAGCAGAAAUACAAGUCUCCCUGUGCCUAGCCCUACAUCAACAUAAGCCUCACCUAGCAGGGAGUAAAGGUUAGACUGCUCAUCACAUGUUGUCAGCUCAACUUCAACAAUAGUAACCAUUACGUUUUUGGGUUUUGUUAUUGGAGGAUUGUGGAGUUAGAUGAAAAACUAUGUUGAUGAUUCUGUCUUCAAUCUCACCAAAAAAAAGGAGAUGGAAUUAUCAACCAUGGCCAAUUUCCUGGGUCAAAGUGGGGCCAACCAUCUGUCCUUCAAUCUCAUUGAAUGUGGUUGUCUUGGGGCCAUACAAUACAGCAAGACUCCUCAAUUUGUUUUCAAUUCCCUCACUGAAGACCUGGAACAACUAGAACAAAUGUAGUUUGUGAUGGUUUGGGACAAUUUCAGAUUCCUGCAUUCAGCAUUGCUAUGGGAGUGGAUUGAAAACCACCCACGUUUUGUGACUGUGUUCCUACCACCGUACUCUCCAUUUUUGAACCCAGUUGAGCACUUAUUUUCCUCCUGGAGAACCCCAUAACAGGGUAACAUUUCUCCAGGCCAUGGAGGAGGCCUGUGUAGACAAAGAGGCCAAUGCAUGUUACAGAAGGAUAAAACACUUGCAGAAUGUUACCCCCUCUAUGUCUGGCUCAAGAAAAAGUAAAUUCUGAUUUUGAAAAUACCCUGAUGAAAAGAUUUUUUAUUUAAUUAUCUGGAGACAAUAAAAAAACAACACUUCAUUUUGCAAUGAGUCUGUUCCAAUGGUUGUGUUGUCUACAGUUAGGUCUGGACAUAAUUGGACACUGACACAAGUUUAGUUAUUAUGGCUGUUCACCAAAAUAUAUUCAAGUUACAGUUAAAUAAUAAAUAUGGGCUUAAAGUGCAGUCUCUCAGCUUUUAUUUGAGGGCUACACAAAAAAAAUCUGUCAGAGAUAGCAGGAACAUUAGGAGUGGCCAAAUCAACAGUUUGGUUACAGAAAAAAAAUUAUGCACUGGUGAGCUCUGCAACACAGAAAAUCCUGGACGUCCACGGAAGACAACAGUGGUGGAGGUAGGAUAAUUUCCUUUUUUCUUUUCUUCCCAUCAUUCUGGUGGGCAUAUCAUUAUCCAUGUCUAUCAUAAAGAGAAGACUUCACGACAGCAAAUACAGAGGGUUCACCACAAGGUGCAAAUAAUUCAUAAGCCUCAAGAAUAGAAAGGCCAGAUUAGACUUACCAAAGUUAUGGAACGGCAUUCUUUGGACAGAUAAAACUAAGAUCAACCUGUACCAGAAUGAUGGGGAAGAGGUAUGGAGAAGACUUGGAAUGGCCCAUGAUCCUAUAAAACAUGGUGGAUUCAAUAUUUUUGCUCAUCCCCUUGAAUUAAAGCUAUAAGUCUGCACUUCAACUGCAUCUCGGUUGUUUCAUUUCAAAUCAAUUGUGGUGGCGUACAGAGCCAAAAGUAUGUAUAUUGUGUCAGUGUCCAAAUAUUUCCAGACCUAACUGUAUUUUCAGAGAAUAAACCUCCGUUUGGAGUAAUGUGUCAAAUCAAUUGGGAAGAACUGAAAGUGGACUAACACAUCCACAGAAGGGAACUCUAAGCGCCAAGCAGUAACUCUAGCAGUACACCCCCGCUUUGUGUUUCAUUUCCAUAGAAAAACGCUGCUUUUUCUACUUCAAAAACCACUAGCGUCCUCUCUUUGGGCUCAGUGGUUACAGGUUAGCCAGUGUCAUCUGCCACACUGAGACGGUUGUGUGUCGGGUUAAGGGCUUCCCCCCCAGCACCAACAGCAAAUCGGGAAGGUGUUGUGCCAUGCUGUCAUUGCUCUCCUCCAGUUCACAUGUACCCUCCUUCUCUGUAUCCCAGCAGCUCCACUUUUCACCGAAGGCCUCCUGAUUCUCAAAGGUAAGACAAUUCCCUACGGGUUCAACGCCCUUGCCGUUAACGGCAUUAUGACAGUCCGUCACUUCAGUCAACAGAGGGUCCCUAUUAAAUGUCUUCAGUUCAAUAUCACCUCCGGUGUCUGGAUUGGACGGAAAGCAUUUGUUUUUAAACGGGCGUAACUUGCUCUCCAGGCGGUUCCUGGCGGUGACGCUGGGUGUCAUGGUGGUGCUUGUGGUGGUGGUCAAGGCCGACUGGUAACUGCAGCCCAGGCCGACACAGCAGUGAUGGAUCCGGUGGGGAGGAGGGCUGGAGCUGGGUAGUACAGCUAGCUUUCCCCACGUCUGAGUGUUAAAGCUAUAUCUGUGGAUGAAAAAAUAUAUAUGUAAUAAUC